GACCCCCAUAUCAAUCCCAUAUACACCUGAGCUGCUAUAGAACUGGAAGGCAAGUGUGGGGUGUGCAGGGGCUUCCUGGUGAGCGUCCCCCAUCCUCACAUUCAGACUUACAUCUUCAGGCAACUUUCUAGAUUCUAGACUUUAAUGCACGAGAGAAGUAGGAAAAUGGGAGGGCUGGUGAGAUGGCUCAGUGGGUAAGAGCACCCGACUGCUCUUCCGAAGGUCCAGAGUUCAAAUCCCAGCAACCACAUGGUGGCUCACAAACCAUCCGUAGCGAGAUCUGACUCCCUCUUCUGGAGUGUCUGAAGACAGCUACAAUGUACUUCCAUAUAAUAAAUAAAUAAAUCUUUAAAAAAAAAAAAAAGAAAAA
rnacentral:lncRNA from 1 species